CCGGGUUGAUGAACUAUAUCCUCGUUUCCCAACAGUGAGGUCCCUUUUAUUUUACUCUCGCUCUGCCUGAAAAGGUGGCGAUCUUGCUUCACUGCAUGAUUGUAUAGAGAGUGGCGAUGAUCUGUACCCCGAUUUCCCAAGGUCUGCCUUCGGGCGCUUGGGCGGGGUGGGUUUCGAUGGAAGUCUGACCGG
rnacentral:snoRNA from 10 species